rnacentral:lncRNA from 1 species
AAUCUACUGAGCUUGCAUGUGUUGGGGGUGGGACCCGUGGCUUCCCCCUGUGCCUCCAGGCCACCGAGGUCUGCAUCUGCCCUGUGGAGUUCAACCCCCACUUCGUGGCACCUAUGAUACCCAAGGUGGAGUGGGCGGUGUUCCUGGAGGUGGCUGAUAACUUGCACCUGACCCAGGUGCUAAAGGGCCGGUUGAGGGAUAUGAGGAGAACGAAGAGUUUCUGAGGACCAUGCACCUCCUGCUGCUGGAGGUGGAAGUGAUGGGGGGCACCUUGCAGUGCCCAGAGUCUGGAUGUAUGUUCUCAAUCAGCCACAGGAUCCCCAACAUGCUGCUGAGUGAAGAGGAAACUGAGAGUUGA